rnacentral:rRNA from 1 species
UUCCCCUAGUAACUGCGAGUGAAGCGGGAAAAGCUCAAAUUUGAAAUCUGGCAGUCUCUGAUUGUCCGAGUUGUAAUCUAGAGAAGUGUUACCCGCGUUGGACCGUGUACAAGUCUCCUGGAAUGGAGCGUCAUAGAGGGUGAGAAUCCCGUCUUUGACACGGACUCCCAAGGCUUUGUGGUGCGCUCUCAAAGAGUCGAGUUGUUUGGGAAUGCAGCUCAAAAUGGGUGGUAAAUGCCAUCUAAAGCUAAAUACAGGCGAGAGACCGAUAGCGAACAAGUACCGUGAGGGAAAGAUGAAAAGAACUUUGGAAAGAGAGUUAAACAGUACGUGAAAUUGCUGAAAGGGAAACGCUUGAAGUCAGUCGCGUUGGCUGGAAAUCAACCUUGCUUUUGUUGGGUGUACUUUCCAGUUGACGGGUCAGCAUCAGUUUUGACCAGUGGAAAAAGGCGUAGGAAAUGUGGCUUCCUCGGAAGUGUUAUAGUCCUGCGUUGUAUACAUUGGUUGGGACUGAGGAACUCAGCACGCCGCAAGGCCGGGGUUCGCCCACGUACGUGCUUAGGAUGCUGGCAAAAUGGCUUUAAUCGACCCGUCUUGAAACACGGACCAAGGAGUCUAACAUGCCUGCGAGUGUUUGGGUGGUAAACCCGAGCGCGUAAUGAAAGUGAAAGUUGAGAUCCCUGUCGUGGGGAGCAUCGACGCCCUGACCAGACCUUCUGUGACGGAUCAGCGGUAGAGCAUGUAUGUUGGGACCCGAAAGAUGGUGAACUAUGCCUGAAUAGGGUGAAGCCAGAGGAAACUCUGGUGGAGGCUCGUAGCGAUUCUGACGUGCAAAUCGAUCGUCAAAUUUGGGUAUAGGGGCGAAAGCCU